rnacentral:lncRNA from 1 species
UUUUGGCUUCUAACUUGAACCAAUUUUAAGAUCUAACAUCAACUCUUUUCCCACAAAUUUUCAGCCAAGUUUGGGCCAUUUCCUCUCAAAUUCCAAACCGGCCCAAUAUUUCCAACAUUCAACAGAAACCCAUUAUAACAACAACAUUCUAAUCAGCCCUAUACUCAAAUCAAUAGCCCCUUUUCCAUAAUUUCCAGCCCACCAAGCCAAUCCAUUUCCCCUUAACCCGGCCCAUUUCUUUUGUUCAGCAAAGAGUUCAACAACUAUUCCAAACAACAAAGGCAAACAGCAGCACACGGAAAUCUCACGGAGACGGACGGAAAGCAGCGGCAACAGGCAGUACGCUGCCUUUUCUUGUCUUCUUCCUCAACGUCCCUCUCCGAUAGUACUGUUCCAGCCGUGAUUCCAGUAAAAGCAGCACGCAUUUUCGUCCUUGUGGUGUGAGAUUGAGGCACAUAGCAUCUCAAGGACUCUCAAUCGAUCGAGACCCUCCACCUCAUUCCAAUCCGUUUGAAAUGAGGAUCAAUUCGGUAUAUUCUUCCGUCCUUGGAGAGAAUUUGAGGGGGAAUUUUCAAAAUUUGUGGGCCUUGUUCUUAUCCAACUUCUCGGCCCUUUUCCCAAAUUCCGAACCCUAGUUUUUCCUUAUAAAUACCCUCUUUGCUCACUGUUCAAAGGAGGGUUUUUUUUCGAGACCUGAGAGUACCCUAAAAGGUUUGGGAAAUCUUGGUUCAAUAGUUUAAUUUGUUGUGGUUGUUUGAGUUGAAAGAGGUGGAAUCGUCUCCGUCAAACUCAUCCGUCCAGUUCGCUGCCCCGAGCCAGGUAAUCUUCUCUUUAUUUCAGCAUUUUGUUGGCUCUUGAAAUCUUGUUUGGCGUUAGCUGUUUAAGUAUGUUUUCAGUAGCUUAAAUUUUAUUUUUUAUUUUUUGCCUAUUUUUGAACUGUCUAAUUUAUAUGUGAGAUAUUUAUGUCUUUAAUUUCAUCAUUUUCUACCAUCUUAGGACAAAUAUAAUCAGUAUUGAAUGAAGUUAGAGUUAUUUUUUUUUUUAUUUUUUUUUAUUUUUUUUGUUCAAGCAUUUUAGUUGUCAAGUAGUCGAUCUGUGUAGCUUGUUGUAUUCGUUUGAUUUGAAAAGGUUUUAAAGCGCUAGUUAUUCUCGACUUGCUUCACCUUUUGACUUAUGACAAAUUUUAAAUUUGGAGUUGAAUAUUCUCAUUCAUGAUGAGCGAAAACCUCCCCAUUCAUCUAAUCUUUUUACAUGUAUAAGAGAAUGUAGUGAUUAAUUUCUCUCUAGUCAGCCAUGUGAUCCAAUAUGAGCUUGAAGUGUGUUUAUUUUGAUUAUAGCGCGACUGUUUAAAUUCGAGUUUGCGAACUUGCUUCAUGCUGUCUCAUUUCCAAUCGUUUUCGGCUCCUAGUUGUCGUCCGUCUCUCUGUUUUGAGGUUCCUAUUUUGAUUUCCAUGUGAAUGAUUCAAAAUGAUGUUCGAUUUAGUGUUAUGUCUCAUGUUACCUUAAGAUUAAUGAGUGUAGCUAUAUGUUUAACACAACUGAUAAUUUAUUUAUGUGUUAAGAUGUUAGUUUGUUGUUCUUUAUAAUGCUACUGUCGGGAUUAAUGGAACACAAAAGUUCUCAUGUGUUAACCGAUUUUUAUUUAUUUUUGACUCCUUAAUCUCUAGUUUUCUCUGACUGCUGGUUGAAUUUAAGGUUUAUGUGAAGUUGUUUAAAUUGUCCCUUCCUUGUCUAUUUUCCGAUUUUCUUUGCUCAAAUUUAUAGCUAAAGUUUGUAGUUAUGGAUUGUCUUAAUGUGAAUAUAAAGAAAAGGUUUUAGGAUCAAAUGUUGCCUUCAUUUUGUUUGGCAUAUUACUUGAUUUAUCUCUGCCAAAAAAUGAUUUUCAAUUGUCCAUAAUUAAUUAAGCAUGUUAGUAUAAACUACUUUGAAGUCCUCAUUAUGAUAUGUCAUUUUUAUCGCCUUUAGCAUAACUGAGUUAAUACAUAUCAAUUAAUCUUAUGUGACUUCAAAUAUUUAAAUUUUGAAUCUAAAAGAGAUUGGAGUUUGUACAUCCAUGAGUAGUGUCGGGUUUGGUCUUGGUGUGAUACUUGUUUGAAUCUCUUUAUUUAUUAAUUAUAUGGAAUGUACUCUUUCUAUCAUUAAUUAUUAUACAUGCUAGUUGAAGUCUGCAUGCCUUAAUUCUUGGCUACAAACCUUUCUGCAAGUAUCAAGUAAGCNNNNNNNNNNNNNNNNNNNNNNNNNNNNNNNNNNNNNNNNNNNNNNNNNNNNNNNNNNNNNNNNNNNNNNNNNNNNNNNNNNNNNNNNNNNNNNNNNNNNNNNNNNNNNNNNNNNNNNNNNNNNNNNNNNNNNNNNNNNNNNNNNNNNNNNNNNNNNNNNNNNNNNNNNNNNNNNNNNNNNNNNNNNNNNNNNNNNNNNNNNNNNNNNNNNNNNNNNNNNNNNNNNNNNNNNNNNNNNNNNNNNNNNNNNNNNNNNNNNNNNNNNNNNNNNNNNNNNNNNNNNNNNNNNNNNNNNNNNNNNNNNNNNNNNNNNNNNNNNNNNNNNNNNNNNNNNNNNNNNNNNNNNNNNNNNNNNNNNNNNNNNNNNNNNNNNNNNNNNNNNNNNNNNNNNNNNNNNNNNNNNNNNNNNUUUUUUUUUUUUUAUUUGAAAAGUCUGAAAAUGGCACCAGCUGAAGCAGAGUUGCAGCUGCCUCUAAAAGGCAGAAAAACGAGGAGAAAAAAUUGGGUCGAAACCCCGACAAACCACCAGCAGUAGCAGCAGUCCCCAAAGGGACUAAAAUUGGAAAUUUUUGGACUUUAAAAAGUCCAAUCUGGGCAGCAGCAAAUGAGAAGCAGCAAGUGGACUUAAAGUUGUCCAAAUCCUAUUUGCACUUUUGUUUCCCUUAUAUCGUGAUUUUGUGAUACUUGCUCUUAAUUUCUAACAUUUAUUUUAUCAAUUUAGAUGAAUCCUUGGGGUGAUAUGUUUAUUAAAGUUUUCAAAUUUUGAAACUCAUUUUAAGUUAGGUAAUUUAAGCUUUAUAGAAUGACUUGAGAACCUUUUAUGUUCUUUCAUAGUUAUUGAUAAGCUUCGAAUCCAUGUUUACGAGUUUGAACUAACUAUUUGGUUCAAAUUUUUAAAUAGGAUAAAGUUGUUAAGUUUCUUAAAAUAAAUUAGUUGUCUUUUAGUUUAACUUAGGACCUUGUAUGAAUGACUUAAGGAUUUUCUAUAUAUUUUUGUAGUUGUCAAACAAGGUCCUUAAAUUCAUGUUUAGGUGUUUGAAUUAAUUGUAUGAUUCAAAGUUUAAUUAUGGAUAAAAGUUUCAAGUUAGGUUUGUUCAAAAGAUUUUAGAAGUAUCACGAGAUUUUUUAUCUAAGUUUCAAACAAGAUUUUUGUAAGUAAUUCCUUUAUUUUAUAAAAUUAGCCAAACUUUUAAAUCCGUCGGUCAACCGUGUGUUAGCGGAUUCUCUAAGAUGCCUAAAUCCUUCCUUAGAGAAUUAUUUGAACCCUUACCCGACUCUGGUUUUAUCUAAUAUGUUCUCUUUCAAAUAAAACUCAUUUUAAGUGGUUUUCUUAAUUUUUCCUAAAAAUUAAGUGGCGACUUCCAAAUUAUAUUUUUCCAAAACUUAACAAAAAUUGCCAAAGUUGCGAAAUUGGUUUCGAAACCUUAGUUUUCGAAAUCGAGUCGUAACAGGGAUAUUUCAAAAACAUGGACAUCAACUCACAAGAAAGUGAGAAUCUAUGCAGACUGCUUGUUGAACAUAAUGAGCUGGUACUAUUAUUGUAUUAAUUGUUACUUUAUGCAAUUAUUUGUUUAAAUUUUGAUUAUUAAUUGUCAUAUUGCAUUCAUGGCACUUUCUGAUACAAUAUGACCAUAUUAUUUCAUUACUAAGAUCUACCAUCUAUCAAAUCCUUCAUUACGUUGGUGUCAAAUUAAAAUCAAACAAACAAAUUGAAAUGAAGGAAAUAUAUCAUUUUUCCUCUUUCUUUCUCUAAUUUCAUUCUAGUGAAAAAGUUUAGAAGUUUGUACAGAGUUCAAGAAAUUCAUUAUAAUCAUCAAGAAAUAAUGACUCAAAUUUAUGUUAAAAUGAGUUUUGAGAGUGAAAUGAUUUUAAGAUUGUGGGGUACAAAUACAACAAAUUAAAGGGGAUGGUUUAGAAAUUUUUUGGUUUAGAAAUAUUUUGACAAAGUGAGGUUAGGUGGUGGAUGAGGGUCGUUGUGACUGAUAUCUAUUUCCCUCUCCUCUAAUAUGUAUCCCUAUUUGUUUUAUUCAUAAGGUUUGUAGAAAGAUUUUUUGGGGCAAUGGAAUGUUUCACAAACGAUAUACACAUCCUUCAAACGUUAGGCCCACCUUUGGCUCAAAAAGGUCACAUGUAUGUUAGGAGACGUUAUAUAUUGUUUGUGUGUUAAAUGUUACAAAUCUUGUUUCAUUUGUGCUUGUUUGACUUAUGUGUUCUAUACAUAUGUCUUGCUUUAAACAUAAUUAGUCCGUUAUACCAUUACAACGUCUUAGAACAUCUUUUAAUAUAUAUACUCAAUUUUCAGGCUUUCCGAAAUAUUCUUGACUCCAUUAUCAAAAUACGUUCAAAAUCACUAAAGUUCUAGGUUCAAUAGAGCUUUACAAAAUUUAUUAGGUCACUAUUCAAAUUCACGUUGACCUUGUUGUUUCUUGAAAAUUAUUUUUUACGCCUACCUAGCCGGUAUUACUAAAUAUUCCUUCAGUUUCAAGUCAACUUUAAGACGUCUUUGUUUCUCGAAAGGACUUUUCAAUUGAGCCUUCCAAAAGGUACAUUUGAAUCUUUACUUAAAUCAUAUAGUUUGCCUUGUUCAAAUUCCUUUAUUUCGCUAAAAUUUUAGUUCACAAAAUGAUCAAAAAAUUUCCCAUUUUGUUAUCCUUUUAGAAUUUUUUGGUCUUCGGAUUUUGGACUAAUUUGUUUUAAGCAAAACAAAUGUUAUUUGUUUUAUAUGUUACUUCGAUUGAUUAUUAUGAUUAAUGGACUAACUCUUUAUUUUUUGAGUUAUUUUUAGAAGGAGAGACUGAUUUGUGUUGGUAAUCAAACUUGCUCACUUCAUCAAAGUACCCGCUGGCAGAACAUUCAUAUUUUACACGGUCUAAGGUCAAGAAAAUCGCAUCAGACUCAUCAUUUCUUACUUGGACUACUAAGAGGACUCGUACAAAAAUGGAUCCCACUAUCAACACAGUUGCUUCAUCCGAAAUGAUCCCCACUCCAUCUGUCGCGGCUAAUCCUAGUGCAUCGGUAGCAACAGAAUCACCCAUGGAAGUCAUUGCUCGUCUAGAGCGACAAAUUGGUGAACUGAAUCUCCUAGUAGCUCAUUUCCAAGCUGCUUCUCAGAACCUACCACCUGAUGCUCGCCAAAAAGGGCCCAUGCCACCUUCGUUUCCAACUUCAAGUGAGCUCAAUCAAGGAGAACAUUUUACCACCUUUCAGCCAGCUCAAAGCGCCUCACUCACUCAUUCGACUCAGGAUACUCCUCUUGUGUACACAUUUGCUCCCCCAAAACCUCCAACGGUAACACAUCAUGCUCCGCCAGUGUACACUUAUGUCACUGCUCCACCUGUUACCAAGGCUCAAGAGUUUCAUCGCCAAGAUGUUAAUCACUAUGUUGAAAUUGAAAACGAUGCAAGAUCAAUUGAUGCUGAAAUGAUGAAUAGAAAGAUGAAAAGCUUAGAGGAUGCUAUGAGAGGUCUUCGUGGGUUCGAUAGUAGCCAGAGUGUGAGAUAUGAAGAGUUGUGCACAUUCCCUGAAGUUGAGCUUCCACUCGGUUACAAGAUUCCGAAGUUUGAGAAGUUCAGUGGAUCAGGAAAUCCUUUCUUUCACUUGAAAAUUUAUUGUGAAAAGUUGAUUGGCGUUGGAAACAACGAAGGGAUAAGAAUCAAGCUUUUCAACCAAAGUCUGACCGGAAAAGCCUUGGAGUGGUACUCAAAGCAAGAUGUGACUAAAUGGCGUACUUGGGAUGAUCUAGCAAAUGCUUUUGUGGAUCACUAUAAGUUUCAUGUUGAAAUCGCUCCUGAUAGGAUCUCUAUUACCAAGCUAAAACCAAAGUCGACUGAAUGCUUUCGAGAAUACGCCAUUUGUUGGAGGGAGGAAGCUGCUAGGGUGCACCCACCUAUGGAGGAAUCAGAAAUGAUCACCUACUUCAUUCAAGCUCAAGACUCAGAAUACUAUGAGCGUAUGGUGACAAUGGGUGGAAAGACAUUUGCAGAAGUUAUCAAAGCUGGAGAAAUGAUUGAAGACGGUCUCAACAUUUGCUGAAGUUAUCAAGGCUGGAGAAAUGAUUGAAGACGGUCUCAAAACUGGCCGAAUAGCAAGUUACACCUCAUCUCAGUUUGCUAACAGGGCCUAUCAAACAGGUUCCUUUGGAAGCGGAAAGAAAAAAGAGAAAGAGGUUAUGAUGUUAACGACCCGAUGAGCUACCUCAUAUAACCGUCAACCACCUCCAGGCUAUCUUGGUUCACAAUACUAUGUUUGCAACAAUCAAGCAACAUUUCGUCCUCCACGACCAAUGUAAAAUUAUCGAAACAAUGCACCUCGUCCCAAUUUUGAGAAAAAACCUCCCCGAGUGUUCACUCCAUUGUGUGAGACACGGACUCAACUUUUUGAAAGAUUGAAAGAGGCAGGGAUACUACAUCCAGUGGAAGCCAAGACUGUGAAUACUUCAGCCGAGUGGUAUGACCCAAAUAAGCAUUGUGCUUAUCACUCAGGAGUUAUUGGGCAUGAUACCGAGAGGUGUAUCACUCUGAAGCACAAAAUUCAAGAUCUAAUUGACAACGAGGUGGUAAAACUUGCUCAAGCUCCACCAAAUGUGAACACCAAUCCACUACCCAAACACAAAGAGUAGUCAUUGGCGUAACCAGUUGCGAACAAGAAUCAAGUUUUUCUGAAAGUCACACUUUUGACAUCUUUUAAUAUUGCAUUUGAAGUUUGUUGUUUCAUUUCCCUGUAAUCCUUUUAAUAUUGCAUUUGGAGUUUGUUGUUUCAUUUCCAUGUAAUCGCUUUUAUCGCUUUGUUUCCCUUGUAAUCAUUUGUUUGGAUUUAAUUUGUUAGCAUCUUUCAUCUGUAAUGAACUACGUCUGACCUGAAUUCUCAAGAAUGAGAUACGUAGGCGGCCUAUGUCGGCUUCGGUCACCCCUUUAUCCCUUUUAAUUUCUCUUUUAGUGGAACUACGUUUGACCUGAUUCCUGCUCAACGGGAUACGUAGGCGCCACACCGGCUCGGUCAUAUUCCCCGCAAGUUUUUCAUUUCCCUUUAUAAUAAAAACUGGGGCAGAAUUUUGAGAGGAUCUCAAAAUUCGUUGGAAGAGGAAUUUGACCAACAAGUCAGAAUCAAGGAUCACUUCAGAGUUGCAACUGGGGCAGAAUUUUUGAGAUUCACUCAAAAAUUCAAUCAAACACUAUAGAAAGUUCAGAAUUUAUAUUAUGUUUUAAACUGGGACAGAAUUUUGAGGAGGUCCUUAAAAAUUCCAUCAAGCGACAUUUCAAGACCAAACAAGCUUGUAAUCCAGAAGGCAAAGGAGCAUCAAGAUGGCAAGGCAAAGCCAACAUGAAUCAGUCUCUCAAAACUAAGAAUUUUUCUUUGGAUGCAGGAACUACAAAGUUACAAGGCAUCAUUAGACUCACGAUGGAAUAGCUUGGCAUAAUGGCGAAGACCAUAAGACGUUAUCCAGACCAAUAUAAGCUGAACAACUUCAUCAUUAACUUAUCUUUUGUUUUAUCAUUUACUUUGAUAAUUUUAUUUUGUUACUAACUCACGACUGAGUUUUGCAGGUGUCAUUACCAGAAUUGAAGACAAUUUCAAAAGAUCUUCUGAAGUUUUGAAUGAUUAAAUCAGAUGUUCGCCAGAAAAUUGCAGGAGCCAACUUUUUUUUUCAAAUUUCAUAAUGAAGGAUUCCCGACACCGAGGAUCCAAUCCUACAAACUGACUCUUAUCCUCUUUUUAUAUUGAAGAACUUUGUCCUUCAUUGUUUCAAAUCCCUUACCUUUUAUGACAAGUCUUACGUCCUUUUUAAAUUCUGUCAAGUUUCAGGUUCGAACUACGUCAGACCUGAUUUCUUGUUCCAGCAAGAUACGUAGGCAAUCCUAUGUAAGGAUUCGGUCUUCUAACUGUUUCAAAUUACAGACCUUAGAGGAAAUUGGGACAUGUUUUUGAAUCAAUCAUCCCUCAUUUUUUGCAAAUUAUUUCAGUUAAGUACCCUUGGACUGGAAACAUGGGUAACUUUUUGAAAUAGUUCAAAAUUCUCAAAAUCUCUGUUUAACCUUAUGUUUCAAAGAUAUUCCGUGUCAAGCGAGUUUUCUCUUUGCAAGAGAUCUUUUUAAAGUAAGGGUACACCUUGUGUAACAUCCCUAAUCGACCAUUAGUGCUUUGUUUCAACGCUAUAAGUUCUCAAAGCGUUCUUUCGGAAUUCCCCAUUUUCUAUGGCUACCAGAUCAUCUUGACGUGUUCAAAAGUCUUGACUUGUGUUAAUUUUUGUUAUCUACUAACAAAUUCUUUAUGAGCGAAGAAAACAAACUCUUUAAAGAGAACCACAGGUCUUACCAGCUUCAGGAAUUACAUGAGACAAACUGGAUGAGAAAUAUUAUAUAUUUGGAUUGUCUUUCUUUUAAAGAGUUAUAUUGAGCUUCCACCUCAAACUAUCAUUGGAGAGUCACUUCCUUCAACGUGACACAUUAAAUUAUUAUUGGAGAGUCACUUCCUUCAACGUGACACAUUAAAUUAUUAUUGGAGCGUCACUUCCUUCAACAUGACACGUUAAAUUACCAUUGGAGCGUCACUUCCUUCAACGUGACACGUUAAAUUAUUAUUGGAGAGUCACUUCCUUCAACGUGACACAUUAAAUUAUUAUUGGAGCGUCACUUCCUUCAACAUGACACGUUAAAUUACCAUUGGAGCGUCACUUCCUUCAACGUGACAUGUUAAAUUAUUAUUGGAGCGUCACUUCCUUCAACGUGACAUGUUAAAUUAUUAUUGGAGCGUCACUUCCUUCAACGUGACACGUUAAAUUAUUAUUUGAAUGUCACUUCUUUCAACGUGGCAUACUAUAUAUUGGAGCGUCACUUCCUUCAAUGUGACACGUUAAAUUAUUAUUGGAGCGUCACUUCCUUCAACGUGACACAUUAAAUUGUUAUUGGAGAGUCACUUCCUUCAACGUGACACGUUAAAUUACCAUUGGAGCGUCACUUCCUUCAACGUGACACAUUAAAUUGUUAUUGGAGAGUCACUUCCUUCAACGUGACACGUUAAAUUAUUAUUGGAGAGUCACUUCCUUCAACGUGACACGUUAAAUUAUUAUUGGAGCGUCACUUCCUUCAACGUGACACAUUAAAUUAUUAUUGGGGCGUCAGCUUCCUGAAUGUGACACAUUAUGUUAUAUUGAAUAGUCACUUCCCUCAAAGUGACGCAUUAUUAUUAUUAUUAUAUUGGGACAUUACCUCUCUUAAAUAUACAGUUAUAUCAUAUUGGGAAGUCACCUCUCCAAAAAAGUGACACGUUAUGUUUUUGAAUUAUCACCUCGUCCAAAUUGACACAUCACUUUGGAUCACCACUUCCUUCAAAAGCAAUACACUUGAAAUUGGAUCGUCAUCUCCUUCAAUAUGGCAUGUUAAACCAGGUUUGAACAAAUUAUAUUUAUAUUUAUAUUACAUUUUCUACUGACAAUUUUCUCCAGACUUUGCAACACACGAAGUGGACUACGUCAAAAUAGGACGCAACACAACGUGGAACUUUUUCUUAGCAGCGAACUGGGACAUAGUCCAAAGAGGAAUAUCAAACUCUUAGGACGCGAGUUAAGGAACGACUUCCACCACAAUCAAACCACAUCCCUAUCCUAAGGCGUGUGGGUAUUUCUUGGGACUUAAUAGUUUCAGUUUCGCCUUCAGUGAAAUUUUCAACUCUCAUGAGAGGCAAAUUUUCAAAUUCGAGUGACAAUACCCCUAGAGCUUUGGAAGUUAUGUCCAUAUAAGAGAUUUAUUUUUCAACCGAUUGAGUCGAACUACAAGCAAUCUGAUUCCCAAACUUUAGGGAUAUGUAAGCGGACUUAAUGUUGAAAACUCGACUAUACUCCAACGACUCUAUCAUCACUCUAUUCUUGAGCUUUUCGGUCUCUCCAUAUUUCGACACCGAAAUAGCUUUUGCAUUCUUUCAAAAUUGUGCGAUAAAUCAAGCGCCUUUCGAACUACUAGUGGCCUGAGUUCUCAUUUAACCUGAGAUAAGUAGGAAACUCAAUACCAGGGUCCGGUCGUGAUUCCUCAAAAUCAUUGCCAUUCACCAUUCCAAAGAAAUGAUUUAGUGGACGGACAAAAUUGGAUUCGUCAAUUUCAUUUCCUUUCGAACUACUAGUGGCCUGAGUUCUCAUUUAACCUGAGAUAAGUAGGAAACUCAAUACCAGGGUCCGGUCGUGAUUCCUCAAAAUCAUUGCCAUUCACCAUUCCAAAGAAAUGAUUUAGUGGACGGACAAAAUUGGAUUCGUCAAUUUCAUUUGCCUCGGAUGUCUUUCAUCCAUCCCAUUCAAACGAGGGGCAGUUGUUGACACCCAAUUUUGAUCCUCCACAUUAUAGAUUAACACGAGCUUCUUUAAUUUCAAACGAUUUGAAAUAAUUGACUUUAUAUAUUUUUAAAAUGUCUCUCAAGUUAUUUUAAAGUAAUUUUGAUUAUAUUUUAUAAUUUUUAAAUAAUAAAUGUAUUUUAUGUAAUUAUGUACAUUAUUAGUAUAUUUUAUAAAUAUUCAAAAAUCGUCUCAAAAGAUUUUGCGUUAAUUAAUUUAGUUAAGUAAUAGUACAUAUUUUUGAGUUAAUUAGUUAAGUUAAUUAUUUUAUUUCGUUAAAAUUAAAAAGCUCGUUAGUUAAUUUAAUUAAUUUGUCUUUUUUAAUUUUUAACCGAAUUUACAAAUUAAUUUGAAAUGGCUAAAUUAAAAUUCCUAUGGUCAUCUCUCCAAUUGCAAAUCUAACUCAUCUUUUGGCUUCUAACUUGAACCAAUUUUAAGAUCUAACAUCAACUCUUUUCCCACAAAUUUUCAGCCAAGUUUGGGCCAUUUCCUCUCAAAUUCCAAACCGGCCCAAUAUUUCCAACAUUCAACAGAAACCCAUUAUAACAACAACAUUCUAAUCAGCCCUAUACUCAAAUCAAUAGCCCCUUUUCCAUAAUUUCCAGCCCACCAAGCCAAUCCAUUUCCCCUUAACCCGGCCCAUUUCUUUUGUUCAGCAAAGAGUUCAACAACUAUUCCAAACAACAAAGGCAAACAGCAGCACACGGAAAUCUCACGGAGACGGACGGAAAGCAGCGGCAACAGGCAGUACGCUGCCUUUUCUUGUCUUCUUCCUCAACGUCCCUCUCCGAUAGUACUGUUCCAGCCGUGAUUCCAGUAAAAGCAGCACGCAUUUUCGUCCUUGUGGUGUGAGAUUGAGGCACAUAGCAUCUCAAGGACUCUCAAUCGAUCGAGACCCUCCACCUCAUUCCAAUCCGUUUGAAAUGAGGAUCAAUUCGGUAUAUUCUUCCGUCCUUGGAGAGAAUUUGAGGGGGAAUUUUCAAAAUUUGUGGGCCUUGUUCUUAUCCAACUUCUCGGCCCUUUUCCCAAAUUCCGAACCCUAGUUUUUCCUUAUAAAUACCCUCUUUGCUCACUGUUCAAAGGAGGGUUUUUUUUCGAGACCUGAGAGUACCCUAAAAGGUUUGGGAAAUCUUGGUUCAAUAGUUUAAUUUGUUGUGGUUGUUUGAGUUGAAAGAGGUGGAAUCGUCUCCGUCAAACUCAUCCGUCCAGUUCGCUGCCCCGAGCCAGGUAAUCUUCUCUUUAUUUCAGCAUUUUGUUGGCUCUUGAAAUCUUGUUUGGCGUUAGCUGUUUAAGUAUGUUUUCAGUAGCUUAAAUUUUAUUUUUUAUUUUUUGCCUAUUUUUGAACUGUCUAAUUUAUAUGUGAGAUAUUUAUGUCUUUAAUUUCAUCAUUUUCUACCAUCUUAGGACAAAUAUAAUCAGUAUUGAAUGAAGUUAGAGUUAUUUUUUUUUUUAUUUUUUUUUAUUUUUUUUGUUCAAGCAUUUUAGUUGUCAAGUAGUCGAUCUGUGUAGCUUGUUGUAUUCGUUUGAUUUGAAAAGGUUUUAAAGCGCUAGUUAUUCUCGACUUGCUUCACCUUUUGACUUAUGACAAAUUUUAAAUUUGGAGUUGAAUAUUCUCAUUCAUGAUGAGCGAAAACCUCCCCAUUCAUCUAAUCUUUUUACAUGUAUAAGAGAAUGUAGUGAUUAAUUUCUCUCUAGUCAGCCAUGUGAUCCAAUAUGAGCUUGAAGUGUGUUUAUUUUGAUUAUAGCGCGACUGUUUAAAUUCGAGUUUGCGAACUUGCUUCAUGCUGUCUCAUUUCCAAUCGUUUUCGGCUCCUAGUUGUCGUCCGUCUCUCUGUUUUGAGGUUCCUAUUUUGAUUUCCAUGUGAAUGAUUCAAAAUGAUGUUCGAUUUAGUGUUAUGUCUCAUGUUACCUUAAGAUUAAUGAGUGUAGCUAUAUGUUUAACACAACUGAUAAUUUAUUUAUGUGUUAAGAUGUUAGUUUGUUGUUCUUUAUAAUGCUACUGUCGGGAUUAAUGGAACACAAAAGUUCUCAUGUGUUAACCGAUUUUUAUUUAUUUUUGACUCCUUAAUCUCUAGUUUUCUCUGACUGCUGGUUGAAUUUAAGGUUUAUGUGAAGUUGUUUAAAUUGUCCCUUCCUUGUCUAUUUUCCGAUUUUCUUUGCUCAAAUUUAUAGCUAAAGUUUGUAGUUAUGGAUUGUCUUAAUGUGAAUAUAAAGAAAAGGUUUUAGGAUCAAAUGUUGCCUUCAUUUUGUUUGGCAUAUUACUUGAUUUAUCUCUGCCAAAAAAUGAUUUUCAAUUGUCCAUAAUUAAUUAAGCAUGUUAGUAUAAACUACUUUGAAGUCCUCAUUAUGAUAUGUCAUUUUUAUCGCCUUUAGCAUAACUGAGUUAAUACAUAUCAAUUAAUCUUAUGUGACUUCAAAUAUUUAAAUUUUGAAUCUAAAAGAGAUUGGAGUUUGUACAUCCAUGAGUAGUGUCGGGUUUGGUCUUGAUGUGAUACUUGUUUGAAUCUCUUUAUUUAUUAAUUAUAUGGAAUGUACUCUUUCUAUCAUUAAUUAUUAUACAUGCUAGUUGAAGUCUGCAUGCCUUAAUUCUUGGCUACAAACCUUUCUGCAAGUAUCAUGUGAUAAGCUCCCCAUAUUGUGGUACUAGUUUUUUUUUCUAUUUUAAUUGAAAUUGUUCAUUUUAAGUUAAAAUUUGAAAAAAAAUGCUAGCUUUGUUUGAUCGUACAAAUUAUUUGUGCUUAAAGCUGAAUGAGAUGUGUGCUUUCCUUAAUUAUCUAAAAAUUGUUCACUUUGCUAAUUUACUUUUUUUUUUCUCUUCUUUGUUUGUUGUAUGUGACAUCCGAAUGAGUCCAAUGGACUCUCAUCUCUUGCAUUUUCCUCUUCGAGUCGACCUCCUUUAAACCGACUGAAAUGGAAGUUAUUUUCAUCGGGAUAAGCACCCCAAAAAGACAGCAGCAGCAGUAGCUUAAAGGGCUAAAAGAAUAGUUUUUUUUUUUUUUAUUUGAAAAGUCUGAAAAUGGCACCAGCUGAAGCAGAGUUGCAGCUGCCUCUAAAAGGCAGAAAAACGAGGAGAAAAAAUUGGGUCGAAACCCCGACAAACCACCAGCAGUAGCAGCAGUCCCCAAAGGGACUAAAAUUGGAAAUUUUUGGACUUUAAAAAGUCCAAUCUGGGCAGCAGCAAAUGAGAAGCAGCAAGUGGACUUAAAGUUGUCCAAAUCCUAUUUGCACUUUUGUUUCCCUUAUAUCGUGAUUUUGUGAUACUUGCUCUUAAUUUCUAACAUUUAUUUUAUCAAUUUAGAUGAAUCCUUGGGGUGAUAUGUUUAUUAAAGUUUUCAAAUUUUGAAACUCAUUUUAAGUUAGGUAAUUUAAGCUUUAUAGAAUGACUUGAGAACCUUUUAUGUUCUUUCAUAGUUAUUGAUAAGCUUCGAAUCCAUGUUUACGAGUUUGAACUAACUAUUUGGUUCAAAUUUUUAAAUAGGAUAAAGUUGUUAAGUUUCUUAAAAUAAAUUAGUUGUCUUUUAGUUUAACUUAGGACCUUGUAUGAAUGACUUAAGGAUUUUCUAUAUAUUUUUGUAGUUGUCAAACAA